rnacentral:rRNA from 1 species
UACGAGUGCCCCCGAGCGUUAUCCGGAAUUAUUGGGCGUAAAGGGUGUGUAGGUGGUUAUGUUAGUCUUCUGUUAAAGCUCCCGGCUUAACCGGGAAAGUGCAGAGGAAACGGCAUGACUAGAGGAUGUGAGAGGUUUAUGGAACUCAUGGUGUAGGGGUGAAAUCCGUUGAUAUCAUGGGGAACACCAAAAGCGAAGGCAAUAAACUGGCGCAUUCCUGACACUGAAACACGAAAGCGUGGGUAGCGAAUGGGAUUAGAUACCCGAGUAGU